GAUGAAGAACGCAGCGAAAUGCGAUAAGUAGUGUGAAUUGCAGAAUUCAGUGAAUCAUCGAAUCUUUGAACGCACAUUGCGCCCCUUGGUAUUCCAUGGGGCAUGCCUGUUCGAGCGUCAUUAUAACCACUCAAGCUCUCGCUUGGUAUUGGGGUUCGCGGUUCCGCGGCCCCUAAAAUCAGUGGCGGUGCCUGUCGGCUCUACGCGUAGUAAUACUCCUCGCGUCUGGGUCCGGUAGGUCUACUUGCCAGCAACCCCCAAUUUUUACAGGUUGACCUCGGAUCAGGUAGGGAUACCCGCUGAACUUAAGCAUAUCAAUAAGCGGAGGA
rnacentral:misc_RNA from 1 species